GACGAACGCUGGCGGCGUGCCUAAUACAUGCAAGUCGAGCGAGCUUGCCUAGAUGAAUUUGGUGCUUGCACCAAAUGAAACUAGAUACAAGCGAGCGGCGGACGGGUGAGUAACACGUGGGUAACCUGCCCAAGAGACUGGGAUAACACCUGGAAACAGAUGCUAAUACCGGAUAACAACACUAGACGCAUGUCUAGAGUUUAAAAGAUGGUUCUGCUGUCACUCUUGGAUUGACCUGCGGUGCAUUAGCUAGUUGGUAAGGCAACGGCUUACCAAGGCAAUGAUGCAUAGCCGAGUUGAGAGGGUGAUCGGCCACAUUGGGACUGAGACACGGCCCAAACUCCUACGGGAGGCAGCAGUAGGGAAUCUUCCACAAUGGACGAAAGUCUGAUGGAGCAACGCCGCGUGAGUGAAGAAGGGCUUCGGCUCGUAAAGCUCUGUUGGUAGUGAAGAAAGAUAGAGGUAGUAACUGGCCUUUAUUUGACGGUAAUUACUUAGAAAGUCACGGCUAACUACGUG
rnacentral:rRNA from 1 species